rnacentral:rRNA from 1 species
CCUGAAAAUGGAUGGCGCUCAAGCGGGGGACCGAGGCGUCGCCAUUGGAGCUAUUUGUAUGCUCUGAUGAGUAGGAGGGCGUGGGGGCUUUAUAGCAAAAGUUGAAAAUGCGCGGAAGCCUUGGGCGUAAGUUCAGGUCGAGCGACCCCUAGUGUAGAUCUUGGUGGUAGUAGCAAAUAUUCAGGUGAGAAUCUUGAAGACUGAAGUGGGGAAGGGUUCCACGUGAACAGUGCUUGGACGUGGGUUAGUCGGUCCUAAGAGAUAGGGAAUUUCUGUAUUCAAGUGCGCUCUGGCAGCGCAGUCCGUCGAAAGGGAAGCAUGUUAAAAUUCCUGCACCAGGAUGUGGAAAAAUUGUGGUUUACCACAAAACGCCUGCGGCAACGCAACUGAACUCGGGGAUUAAACUUGUAGGAGUACCGAGCAGGGAUGUCUUUCCUGUUUAACGCGCUCAUUCCCCUGGAAUCGGUUUGUCCGGAGAUAGGGGGCGAAAGGCCGGAAAAGCACCGCAAGUCUCGCGUGUGUUCGGUGCGCUCGUAAUGGUCCUUGAAAACCCGGGGGAAAGAAAUAGUAGCAGGCCAUCAAAAAAAAAAAAAGCUUGCUAUAAAAAAUCUCACACCUGGCCGUACCCAUAACCGCAUCUGGUCCCCAAGGUAA